CAGGACGAACGCUGGCGGCGUGCUUAAUACAUGCAAGUCGAGCGGACCGACGGGAGCUUGCUCCCUUAGGUCAGCGGCGGACGGGUGAGUAACACGUGGGUAACCUGCCUGUAAGACUGGGAUAACUCCGGGAAACCGGGGCUAAUACCGGAUGCUUGAUUGAACCGCAUGGUUCAAUCAUAAAAGGUGGCUUUUAGCUACCACUUACAGAUGGACCCGCGGCGCAUUAGCUAGUUGGUGAGGUAACGGCUCACCAAGGCGACGAUGCGUAGCCGACCUGAGAGGGUGAUCGGCCACACUGGGACUGAGACACGGCCCAGACUCCUACGGGAGGCAGCAGUAGGGAAUCUUCCGCAAUGGACGAAAGUCUGACGGAGCAACGCCGCGUGAGUGAUGAAGGUUUUCGGAUCGUAAAACUCUGUUGUUAGGGAAGAACAAGUACCGUUCGAAUAGGGCGGUACCUUGACGGUACCUAACCAGAAAGCCACGGCUAACUACGUGCCAGCAGCCGCGGUAAUACGUAGGUGGCAAGCGUUGUCCGGAAUUAUUGGGCGUAAAGCGCGCGCAGGCGGUUUCUUAAGUCUGAUGUGAAAGCCCCCGGCUCAACCGGGGAGGGUCAUUGGAAACUGGGGAACUUGAGUGCAGAAGAGGAGAGUGGAAUUCCACGUGUAGCGGUGAAAUGCGUAGAGAUGUGGAGGAACACCAGUGGCGAAGGCGACUCUCUGGUCUGUAACUGACGCUGAGGCGCGAAAGCGUGGGGAGCGAACAGGAUUAGAUACCCUGGUAGUCCACGCCGUAAACGAUGAGUGCUAAGUGUUAGAGGGUUUCCGCCCUUUAGUGCUGCAGCAAACGCAUUAAGCACUCCGCCUGGGGAGUACGGUCGCAAGACUGAAACUCAAAGGAAUUGACGGGGGCCCGCACAAGCGGUGGAGCAUGUGGUUUAAUUCGAAGCAACGCGAAGAACCUUACCAGGUCUUGACAUCCUCUGACAACCCUAGAGAUAGGGCUUCCCCUUCGGGGGCAGAGUGACAGGUGGUGCAUGGUUGUCGUCAGCUCGUGUCGUGAGAUGUUGGGUUAAGUCCCGCAACGAGCGCAACCCUUGAUCUUAGUUGCCAGCAUUCAGUUGGGCACUCUAAGGUGACUGCCGGUGACAAACCGGAGGAAGGUGGGGAUGACGUCAAAUCAUCAUGCCCCUUAUGACCUGGGCUACACACGUGCUACAAUGGGCAGAACAAAGGGCAGCGAAGCCGCGAGGCUAAGCCAAUCCCACAAAUCUGUUCUCAGUUCGGAUCGCAGUCUGCAACUCGACUGCGUGAAGCUGGAAUCGCUAGUAAUCGCGGAUCAGCAUGCCGCGGUGGAAUACCGUUCCCGGGCCUUGUACACACCGCCCGUCACACCACGAGAGUUUGUAACACCCGAAGUCGGUGAGGUAACCUUUUGGAGCCAGC
rnacentral:rRNA from 1 species